CGCAAUUAUUGUCGUCUCUGUUGGAAUCUCUAAGGAAAGCGGAACAAAAACAUAAACCUAACCCUACUCCAAGCACUUUAACCCCUUAAGGACGGAGCCAGAUGUACAUGUUGUGAACAAAACAAAAUGUAAACAAAACCUGGCAUUUGCGCUACAUGUCUGUCCAACCGUAAUUCACCUCUUUCAUAGUAAAUGCACCUACCCUUAUUAUAUAUCAUUUUAUUCAGGGGAAACAGGGCUUUCAUUUAAUAUCAAAUAUUUAGCUG